ACGCUGGCGGCGUGCUUAACACAUGCAAGUCGAACGGAAAGGCCCUGCUUUUGUGGGGUGCUCGAGUGGCGAACGGGUGAGUAACACGUGAGUAACCUGCCCUUGACUUUGGGAUAACUUCAGGAAACUGGGGCUAAUACCGGAUAGGAGCUCCUGCUGCAUGGUGGGGGUUGGAAAGUUUCGGCGGUUGGGGAUGGACUCGCGGCUUAUCAGCUUGUUGGUGGGGUAGUGGCUUACCAAGGCUUUGACGAGUAGCCGGCCUGGGAGGGUGACCGGCCACAUGGGACUUAGGUACCGCCCAGACUCCUUAGGGAGGCAGCAGGGGGGAAUAUUGCACAAUGGGCCGAAGCCUGAUUCAGCAACGCCGCGUGGGGGAUGACCGCCUUCGGGUUGUAAACCGCUUUCGCCUGUGACGAAGCGUGAGUGACGGUAAUGGGUAAAGAAGCACCGGCUAACUACGUG
rnacentral:rRNA from 1 species